rnacentral:lncRNA from 10 species
GGGGCGCUGUGCCCAGCAGGGGCGACAGCGCAGGCGGGGCCUCCUGCAGCCCCCUUCCCCAUCCCCGGUCGCGUCCCGGUCCCCACCUUGCGAAAGGCUCGAGAGAGGCCGCAGGCUAGGAUUGGACCGCCGGGCGCCGCCGGAUGGUGUUGCCAGGGUAACCGGAUGGCACGCGAAGCCGUUCGAGGUUCCGACCCGGUUACGGGGGCGCCCAGUGGACCCGGAGAGCUACUUUGGGGAGGGGGCGGCCCCGAAGAAGGACUGGGUGGGGGCGCAUGGAGCGGGGGCUGCGCGAAAAGUUUCCUGGGGCGGAGCUGAGCCACGCGGGCCGCGCAGGAGCGUCUGUCCGAGGGUCGCCUACGAGGGACUCCUCUGCUCGGCUGCGCGGGCUUCUGCGUUGAUGAAGUCACCGCGUUCCGGGUCGGAGCUUCGGCGCUUCUGCCCCGAACCCAGCGAAGCCCGGUCCUAUGCCCCCAAUUACCCAACGGUCCCUCAUCGCCCAGCGCAGCUGCUGCCUGGCCAGGCCCUUGCUCCGGAGGAGUCACUGGAAAGUUCCAGGGAAUCUGGGCCUCCCGGACUCUCCACCGGCGUUUCACUGCUCCCUUCCCAUGCCAGGACUCCUCUGUGCCUACCUGGCUGAGGGCAGUGCAGAAUCCGGGCCUUGGAAAGGACACUGGUGCCACCCUUCACUGGGGAAAGGUGCAAGGGGCGGGGGAUAUACCAUGCCGAGCCUUCGCUCUGUGCUCUGUGCAGGUGCUUGACCCAGGCCAGCUCUGGAAUCGCCCCAGGCCAUGCCUCCAGGAUCUUUGCCAACGGUCUUGAGGAGCCAGGCACAGGAUUGGACUCUGCCCGGGCAGGAGGAUGAAGACAGUGACUUCCCCACCAAGACUCCCGGCAGAGGGCCAGAGGCAGGGAAGUGUGGUGGCAGGAGGGCCAGCCUUGCCGUGGCUGGACCAGGGGCCAGCGCUUGCUAACUCGGGGUCCUGGCCGAGUUGUGUGGCCUCUCCGACCCUCGGUCUCCUCAUCUGUAAGAUGGGUCCCACAGCCCCUCCCCGGGGAGGUGUUUGCAGGGCUCCAUGAGAAGGCCUUACACACACUGUGGCUAUGGUGAUCUGUGAGCCGGUCAGAGGACCCGAGAGGCAGCAGGGUGACUCAGCAGUUUCCCUGCCGGGCCGCCCCUGGGUCAUCGUCCCCUAGAGCCUCUCCCUGAGGGGUGUGAGGGAGCGGAUCCCAUUAAGAGGCGAAGGAGGCAGGGAGGUCCUGGAACCAGCGGGGCCUAUGGCGGCCGGCGGGGAAGGAGGCGCCGGCAGUGCUGCCACCUAGCGGUGUGAGGAGGCGGUGCUGCACCAGGGAGGCCCUUCCUGCAACCGGAGUGGGCCUGGAAGGGGCCGGCUUCGCACACUAGGAGCCAGCAGGGCAGGGAGGGGCUCCGGACCGGACCGUGUCGGCUCCAGGAACCCCUUGGGCAGCCUUGUGGACACCUGCUGACCUCUCUCAGAAUGGCUUCUAAGUGCAUAGAUGAAAAAGCCCAGGAUUAUUAGGAAACCAAUUCUAUGCAAAUGCAUUAUCAAAAGAGUAAUAAAAACAAAUUUCUGAUAUA